rnacentral:rRNA from 1 species
UACGUAGGGGGCGAGCGUUGUCCGGAUUUAUUGGGCGUAAAGAGCGUGUAGGCGGCCAGGUAGGUCCGUUGUGAAAACUCGAGGCUCAACCCUGGAAAGCCGGUGGAUACUGUCGGGCUAGAGUCCGGAAGAGGCGAGUGGAAUUCCUGGUGUAGCGGUGGAAUGCGCAGAUAUCAGGAGGAACACCGAUGGCGAAGGCAGCUCGCUGGGACGGUACUGACGCUGAGGCGCGAAAGCGUGGGGAGCGAACAGG